rnacentral:lncRNA from 1 species
AGCUUAGAGCUGCUCUGCCUGCACGGGGUUGCUUGUGGACGUAAACGGUUUCCCUGUGCCGGCGUCAGAGGACUUUCCCUUUGGCUCUGGAGGAGAAUGUUCCGCAGUCUUUGGUUCAGCAGCUCCGAUCCUGAAAGUGCUGUCUUCAAUAUUCCGCCUCUCUUGUUGUUCUUGUGACAGGUUGGGUUCUUCCCGAGCGAGUGUGUGGAACUGAUUAAGGACAAAGUUCCGCAGUCCCUCAUCGAUUUGGUGCCAAAGCCAGGUACGUAUGUUCCAUUUGAUGGUGAAAGGAAGUAACAUGGAACGUUUUGUGCGUGCGUUCCGUGUCUAACACCUCCUUUUUCAAUCCCAUGUUGUACUCUGCGUUGAUCAUCCUUUAUGCAGACCAUGCAGGCCUGUGAAGUCAGAUAGUUGGUUCGCUGCUAUUCUUGUUGUCUGUUUUCUCUUCUUUAAUGAUGGUCAUUGAUGAUAGGUUGAGCAGCAAGAUAAGCCUGAGGACUGCUCUAAGCUGCAUCGGAAGGUGCAGAGAUUUGGCCAAAUGCGACUGUGUUUAGGACUGGACUUGGGAAGAUCCGUUUUUGUCUGUAACUGUUGGAAAUGGUCUUCCAGUUUUUAGGUGCUCUGUAGAAUGAGUUCUGCUUUGCCUUGUCCAACCGAGCCAAACCUGAACUGAACUGGUUUCUUCCUGUUGUUGUGCAGUGUCGAAGAAACACGGCAAGAUCAUCACCUUCCUUCGUUCACUCGUGAAGGCCCGCAUAAAGAAAGCGGAGCAGCGGGAGACGGUGAAGGAAAGGGUGUUUGGAUGUGACCUGGCCGAGCAUCUUCUCCACUCUGGCCACGAUGUCCCCCAGGUCGUCAGGAGCUGCGCGGAAUUCAUUGAGCAGCACGGCGUGGUGCGGGGGAUAUACCGGCUGUCCGGCGUCGCCUCCAGGAUCCAGAAGCUGCGGUAAGAGUGCUGCGAGUGGCAGUCAGUUGUCAGACUAAGUGUGAGAAGGUCUUGGCAAAAAGGAGAGGUCUCCUUUUGGAAACUUGUCAUCUGGCAUGGCUCCCGUGGCAUUGGUGACUGUUUCU